rnacentral:lncRNA from 1 species
UUUUCUCAAACUUGCCUUUGAAAAAGGUGUUUCAGAGUAGAGAGAGCCUCUCAGGUUUUGUUGGGACAAUGACUGCACAAUUCCUAUUACAAUAUUGGAGAACAGAAAGGAACUGACGUCAAUUCCUGAUAAUUUUUCCACUUGGUGUCUGAUUUUCUCUGUACUUCACUUUCUACAGAGUUCCAGAGCCAACAUCAUCUCUACCGGCUCUGAAAUCUCUGCAUUUCUUUGCUGCACAACAGAGGCAUGCCCCUGUGUUCCUAUGGGCAGAAUUCACCUUCAGUCAGUAAUUCUUUGCAGCCAAGUUUGGACAUUAAAAUGAGCAUUGCAGGCAGAAGACAAAAAUGUCAAAGAUCACUGAGAGAAACUAAUGACCUGGCUCUGGACAGGACCACAGGGCCUCAGAAUGACACCAUUUUCCAGAGCUGAACAUGACAAUGACUUAGUAAUGCCUGUCUGCAGCAGAAGAACAAGCCAAAAAGGAGACAAUCAUUGGAUUCUCAGCAUUUUCUCUGGCAGUUCUUGGACCGGCUGGAUGGUUCCUGUACCACCUUCCAAGCUAUAAAGAGAAAUAGAAAACAUCCUUUCAAAAUUAAGAUCUGGAGGCUGCGAUAAGCCAUAAUACCCCUGACUUGGAAUUUCUUGAAAGGGAGCACACAGGCAAAUGAGGGCCAGUUUAAAAUGAAAUGACUGAAAAAUGAGUUCAAGUUUUAUGUAUGCCACAUUGCUUCUGUAUGAAAAAAGUCCAGAUAGGGAACACAACUGACUACAGCUCCAGUUCUGCAGAACUCAGUGUUCACACACUGGGAUUAGUCCUGAGGGACCACUCACAGGUAGAAAGCUGUACUCCUUUGCAGAUACUGUAGAACUGGAUCCUGAUAUAAAAUGACACGGUGAUAUAAAAUAGGGAUAGGGUUACUCUUCUGCCUUCUGCUAAACAAAUUGGAGAAAACAUCAUGAAAUCAUUUAUAUAUAUAUAUAUAUAUACAAUUUACAUAGUUUUUAUAGUUAUAUAUUAGUACUUUCAUUUACAUUCAUCUCAGAUGAAAGCUCCAAGAGUUAAAGAUUAUUUCCUUGAAAGUUUUGUUUUUGACCUUUAGAUGUAUUCUUUUGGUGGCCUCCCACCUGAUGUGCUACCAGAACAGAUGUUUUUCUGCUGGCCAUGAUUGUCAGAUGCUUGAAUCUAUUUUCAGUCUUCAGAUCUAAAUUUGUGAUAUUUGAAAGAUUUUGCUGUUUUGAUGUUUAAAAUAAAUGCUAUGAUAAAAACCUUGAAAUCUACA